rnacentral:rRNA from 1 species
CAGGACGAACGCUGGCGGCGUGCCUAAUACAUGCAAGUCGAGCGGACGGAUGGGAGCUUGCUCCCUGAAGUCAGCGGCGGACGGGUGAGUAACACGUGGGCAACCUGCCUGUAAGACUGGGAUAACUUCGGGAAACCGGAGCUAAUACCGGAUAAUGCACAGCCUCUCAUGAGGUUAUGCUGAAAGAUGGUUUCGGCUAUCACUUACAGAUGGGCCCGCGGCGCAUUAGCUAGUUGGUGAGGUAACGGCUCACCAAGGCAACGAUGCGUAGCCGACCUGAGAGGGUGAUCGGCCACACUGGGACUGAGACACGGCCCAGACUCCUACGGGAGGCAGCAGUAGGGAAUCUUCCGCAAUGGACGAAAGUCUGACGGAGCAACGCCGCGUGAGUGAUGAAGGUUUUCGGAUCGUAAAACUCUGUUGUCAGGGAAGAACAAGUGCCGGAGUAACUGCCGGCACCUUGACGGUACCUGACCAGAAAGCCACGGCUAACUACGUGCCAGCAGCCGCGGUAAUACGUAGGUGGCAAGCGUUGUCCGGAAUUAUUGGGCGUAAAGCGCGCGCAGGCGGUCUCUUAAGUCUGAUGUGAAAGCCCACGGCUCAACCGUGGAGGGUCAUUGGAAACUGGGGGACUUGAGUGCAGAAGAGGAAAGUGGAAUUCCACGUGUAGCGGUGAAAUGCGUAGAGAUGUGGAGGAACACCAGUGGCGAAGGCGACUUUCUGGUCUGUAACUGACGCUGAGGCGCGAAAGCGUGGGGAGCAAACAGGAUUAGAUACCCUGGUAGUCCACGCCGUAAACGAUGAGUGCUAAGUGUUAGAGGGUUUCCGCCCUUUAGUGCUGCAGCAAACG